CCUACGGGAGGCAGCAGUGGGGAAUAUUGGGCAAUGGGCGCAAGCCUGACCCAGCAACGCCGCGUGAAGGAAGAAGGCUCUCGGGUUGUUAACUUCUUUUAUCAGGGGCGCAGCAAGUGACGGUAGCUGAUGAAUAAGACACGCCUAACUACGUGCCAGCGGCCGCGGUAAUACGUCGGUGGCAAGCGUUAUGCGGAUUGACUGGGUGUAAAGGUGGGGUAGGCGGGAGUGCAACUCAGAUGUGAAAUCCGGGGGCUCAACCCCCGAAUUGCAGUUGAAACUGUUUGUCUUGAGUAGCGGAGAGGCAGGCGGAAUUCCUAGUGUAGCGGUGAAAUGCGUAGAUAUUAGGAGGAACACCAGUGGCGAAGGCAGCCUGCCGGACGACAACUGACGGUGAGGCGCGAAAGCGUGGGUAGCAAACAGGAUUAGAUACCCCGGUAGUC
rnacentral:rRNA from 1 species